UGGGUUUGACAUAUAGGGAAAUCUCUGCGAGAUUUCCCUAUAUGUCAAACCCAGGUAAGGUUCUUCGCGUUGCAUCGAAUUAAUCCGCAUGCUCCGCCGCUUGUGCGGGCCCCCGUCAAUUCCUUUGAGUUUUAGCCUUGCGGCCGUACUCCCCAGGCGGGGCGCUUAAUGCGUUAGCUGCGGCACGGAGGACGUGGAAUGUCCCCCACACCUAGCGCCCAACGUUUACGGCGUGGACUAC
rnacentral:misc_RNA from 1 species